CGGAGGCAGCAGUGAGGAAUUUUCUGCAAUGGGCGAAAGCCUGACAGAGCAAUACCGCGUGAAGGAUGAAGGCCUACGGGUUGUAAACUUCUUUUCUCAAGGAGGAAGAAAUGACGUUACUUGAGGAAUAAGCAUCGGCUAACCCUGUGCCAGCAGCCGCGGUAAUACAGGGGAUGCAAGUGUUAUCCGGAUUCAUUGGGCGUAAAGCGUCUGCAGGUGGAUAUUUAAGUCUUUUGUUAAAGCUUUGGGCUCAACCCAAAAUCUGCAAAAGAAACUAUGUAUCUUGAGUCUGGUAGAGGUAAAGGGAAUUUCCGGUGGAGCGGUGAAAUGCGUAGAUAUCGGAAAGAACACCAACUGCGAAGGCACUUUACUGGGCCACGACUGACACUCAGAGACGAAAGCUAAGGGAGCAAACAGGAUUAGAUACCCCUGUAGUCC
rnacentral:rRNA from 1 species